rnacentral:tRNA from 1 species
ACGGGCGUGGUAUAACGGUAUUACUGCAGUCGUUGAGGCUGAUGAUGCAGGUUCAAUUCCUGCUGCCCGUU